CAGUAGCCGCGGUAAUACAGAGGGUGCGAGCGUUAAUCGGAUUUACUGGGCGUAAAGCGUGCGUAGGCGGCUAAUUGAGUCGGAUGUGAAAUCCCCGAGCUUAACUUGGGAAUUGCAUUCGAUACUGGUUAGCUAGAGUGUGGGAGAGGAUGGUAGAAUUCCAGGUGUAGCGGUGAAAUGCGUAGAGAUCUGGAGGAAUACCGAUGGCGAAGGCAGCCAUCUGGCCUAACACUGACGCUGAGGUACGAAAGCAUGGGGAGCAAACAGGAUUAGAUACCCCGGUAGUCCCUGUCUCUUAUAU
rnacentral:rRNA from 1 species